rnacentral:SRP_RNA from 1 species
GCCGGGCGCGGUGGCUCAAGCCUGUAAUCCCAGCACUUUGGGAGGCCAAGGUGGGUGGAUCAUGAGGUCAGGAGCUCAAGACCAGCCUGGCCAACAUAAUGAAACCCCAUCUCNNNNNNNNNNUUUUUGUAUUUUAGUAGAGAUGGGGUUUCAUUAUGUUGGCCAGGCUGGUCUUGAGCUCCUGACCUCAUGAUCCACCCACCUUGGC